CACGUAGGGCGCGAGCGUUGUCCGGAAUUAUUGGGCGUAAAGAGCUCGUAGGCGGCCUGUUGCGUCCGCUGUGAAAGCCCGGGGCUUAACCCCGGGUCGGCAGUGGAUACGGGCAGGCUAGAGGUAGGUAGGGGAGAAUGGAAUUCCCGGUGUAGCGGUGAAAUGCGCAGAUAGUCGGGAGGAACACCGGUGGCGAAGGCGGUUCUCUGGGCCUUACCUGACGCUGAGGAGCGAAAGCGUGGGGAGC
rnacentral:rRNA from 1 species